UCAUUUGUCUUUCACUGUUAGGAUAUGUACUUUCCAAUAAUAUGAACUACUGGACGUUUGCAUUCCAGACAAGGGCGCUCACUUGACUUUACUUGCAACAUUCGGGUGCUUCCAUUUUACGAUUAAUGUAGAAAAGUAGUAAACUUACAAUAACAGCACUUUUAUCGAUGGCUAGGCAGUGCAUUGAUCGUUUGGAUUUGUUGACUUUAGAUACUGUUGGAAAGACAGUCAACUCGAGUUGAAUGUUAUACAAUUCGGUUACACUGUAUUAAGCAAUAGGGCCCGUAAGUCUCGCGAAGCGCUACUUCCGUUGCCAGCAUUUCCGGUGACAUGCCUAUCCGCGUGAACUAGUGCUGCUUUCGAAAUGCGCGGCCGCCAAAGCUAACUCUGUAGACGGUACCAAGUAAACUACCACGCUUGGUUGUCACCGCUGUUGACAGUCGUAAAAGUUUACUUAUUUCACAAUAAUAUGAUCGUUUAUUUGUCAAUACUGUCAGGUUUAUCGGUUCCUGAAUGACAACUGACAACCAUGGGACCGUUCGUGAAGGAGUGAAUUUCUGCUGUACAGCAACCAAAAGAUGAAUCAUCAUCCAGCACGCAGCAACUUCAAGUCAGAAGUGGCCAAAAUGCAAGACAAAUACACUGAAUUAUGGAGGCCAUCACCAAUGACAUGUCCUACAUUAAGAAAGAUACUUACUAAUAAAUGAAGUGUAAUGUUUUUCUGAGGGAAGAAAUAAAAGUGUUACACCUCGUCA